rnacentral:misc_RNA from 1 species
CGCACAUUGCGCCCGCCAGUAUUCUGGCGGGCAUGCCUGUUCGAGCGUCAUUUCAACCCUCAAGCCCCCGGGCUUGGUGUUGGGGCUCGGCCCGUCCCUAGCGGCGCGCCGUCCCCUAAAUCUAGUGGCGGUCACGCUGUACUCCUCUGCGUAGUAAUCUCACCUCGCAACGGGACAAAGCGCGGCCACGCCGUUAAACCCCCAACUUCUGAAGGUUGACCUCGGAUCAGGUAGGAAUACCCGCUGAACUUAA